AAGGUACUCCCUCCGUCCGGAAAAGCUUCUCCCUCAAAUAGAUGUAUCUAGCACCAAGUUAGUGCUAGAUACAUCCAUUUGAGGAACAAGCUUGGGAAAAGUUUUUUGGAUGGAGGGAGUACCAA
rfam:Triticum aestivum genome assembly, contig: Triticum_aestivum_CS42_TGACv1_scaffold_146650_2BS